rnacentral:rRNA from 2 species
AGAGUUUGAUCCUGGCUCAGAUUGAACGCUGGCGGCAGGCCUAACACAUGCAAGUCGAGCGGUAGCACAGAGAGCUUGCUCUCGGGUGACGAGCGGCGGACGGGUGAGUAAUGUCUGGGAAACUGCCUGAUGGAGGGGGAUAACUACUGGAAACGGUAGCUAAUACCGCAUAACGUCGCAAGACCAAAGAGGGGGACCUUCGGGCCUCUUGCCAUCAGAUGUGCCCAGAUGGGAUUAGCUAGUAGGUGGGGUAACGGCUCACCUAGGCGACGAUCCCUAGCUGGUCUGAGAGGAUGACCAGCCACACUGGAACUGAGACACGGUCCAGACUCCUACGGGAGGCAGCAGUGGGGAAUAUUGCACAAUGGGCGCAAGCCUGAUGCAGCCAUGCCGCGUGUAUGAAGAAGGCCUUCGGGUUGUAAAGUACUUUCAGCGGGGAGGAAGGCGAUAAGGUUAAUAACCUUGUCGAUUGACGUUACCCGCAGAAGAAGCACCGGCUAACUCCGUGCCAGCAGCCGCGGUAAUACGGAGGGUGCAAGCGUUAAUCGGAAUUACUGGGCGUAAAGCGCACGCAGGCGGUCUGUCAAGUCGGAUGUGAAAUCCCCGGGCUCAACCUGGGAACUGCAUUCGAAACUGGCAGGCUAGAGUCUUGUAGAGGGGGGUAGAAUUCCAGGUGUAGCGGUGAAAUGCGUAGAGAUCUGGAGGAAUACCGGUGGCGAAGGCGGCCCCCUGGACAAAGACUGACGCUCAGGUGCGAAAGCGUGGGGAGCAAACAGGAUUAGAUACCCUGGUAGUCCACGCCGUAAACGAUGUCGACUUGGAGGUUGUGCCCUUGAGGCGUGGCUUCCGGAGCUAACGCGUUAAGUCGACCGCCUGGGGAGUACGGCCGCAAGGUUAAAACUCAAAUGAAUUGACGGGGGCCCGCACAAGCGGUGGAGCAUGUGGUUUAAUUCGAUGCAACGCGAAGAACCUUACCUACUCUUGACAUCCAGAGAACUUUCCAGAGAUGGAUUGGUGCCUUCGGGAACUCUGAGACAGGUGCUGCAUGGCUGUCGUCAGCUCGUGUUGUGAAAUGUUGGGUUAAGUCCCGCAACGAGCGCAACCCUUAUCCUUUGUUGCCAGCGGUUCGGCCGGGAACUCAAAGGAGACUGCCAGUGAUAAACUGGAGGAAGGUGGGGAUGACGUCAAGUCAUCAUGGCCCUUACGAGUAGGGCUACACACGUGCUACAAUGGCGCAUACAAAGAGAAGCGACCUCGCGAGAGCAAGCGGACCUCAUAAAGUGCGUCGUAGUCCGGAUUGGAGUCUGCAACUCGACUCCAUGAAGUCGGAAUCGCUAGUAAUCGUAGAUCAGAAUGCUACGGUGAAUACGUUCCCGGGCCUUGUACACACCGCCCGUCACACCAUGGGAGUGGGUUGCAAAAGAAGUAGGUAGCUUAACCUUCGGGAGGGCGCUUACCACUUUGUGAUUCAUGACUGGGGUGAAGUCGUAACAAGGUAGCC